CACGCUGAAGAAGAGCGGUGGCAAUAUUAAUUUAAGGAAUGCCUAUGGUCUGACUCCUCUGCAUAUUGCUAUCUGGAGAAACCACAUUCCUAUUAUUAGUAGACUUCUUGCAGCUGGCGCUGAUCCAGAUGCUAAGGAUGGAGAAUCUGGUUGGAGUAGUCUUCACAGAGCUUUGCAUUUUGGACAUCUUACGGUAGCUAGCGUACUCAUCGAGUCAGGUGCUUCUUUUACUCUAGAAGACAUAAAACUGCAGACACCGGUUGAUUUGGUCUCAGGUCCAAUAGCUCAGGUUAUUGGCGAGCAAUAGAGUUCAGUGGCUACAGAGGUUUUCAGCUGGGGAAAUGGUGCAAACUACCAACUUGGGGAAAUGGUACCAUUACUUUUAAAUUCCUGCUGAAACAAAAAGCUUGAAACUUCAAACCUCAUUUCAUCUUUGUUGGAUACACUUGUUGAUACAUAUGUCUUUUAAGUUCCUACUAUGUCGCAUAUGGUG